rnacentral:rRNA from 1 species
UACGUAGGGGGCUAGCGUUGUCCGGAUUUAUUGGGCGUAAAGAGCGUGUAGGCGGCCAGGUAGGUCUGGUGUGAAAACUCGAGGCUUAACCUCGAGAUGUCAUCGGAAACCAUCUGGCUAGAGUCCGGAAGAGGAGAGUGGAAUUCCUGGUGUAGCGGUGAAAUGCGCAGAUAUCAGAAGAACACCAAUGGCGAAAGCAGCUCUCUGGGACGGUACUGACGCUGAGACGCGAAAGCGUGGGGAGCGAACAGG